rnacentral:tRNA from 1 species
UUAGAAAUAGUUUAAUAUCAGAACUUAAGCUUUGGGAGUUUAAGGUGCUUGUUAGAGCUUUCUAGU